UGAAGUUUGUCAAUCGGUGGCUAAUCUCCGAUCAAAUGAUUUUUAUCGUAUCAAUCUCGGAUCUCAACAGUAAACCUAGAAAGCGGUAUAAAAAAAACCUAUUUGCAAAAUUCAAAAUCUUUGAUUUUGUAAACCUGGAAAUUAAUUUUCACUCUUAGCUCGAAACUCUUAGAAAAAGAUUGAAUUUUUAGAAGUAAAAACCCUUGAAGAUCUCUAACCUCAGAAGAAGAACUAAAUGCAGAUUAUAGAAGAUUCAUGUACAAAUCCUUGAAGAUUCAGGUAUACACUCUAACCCUAUUACAUGUUGUUUCCGAUCUAUUCUUUUUUGUUGAUCUGAUAACUCAAAUAUUUUUUAGGUUUUAUUUUAGGUGAUUCAGUAAAUGAAGCUAAGAAGUUUGGGAUUUGUAGAAUCCUCAAGGUUCUACUGUGAAAAUAAUAUUCCCCCUAUAUUUUGGUUUUUACUGUCCUAUGUUCUUUACUGGGUUUUUUUGUUGUAGGACUUCAGGUUUCAUGUUCUUUUAGUUUGAUCUAUAUCAAUAACACACAGUUUUUAUUUUUCAACAACUUAAAGUGGGCAUGCUUCAAAGCUUUUCAUGGAUCUGUUACGGGAUAAGGAAACCCAUUGGAAUCACUAAAGCAACAAUCUAAAUUACUCAUCGUUAUCCUAGUGUUUUUGCCAACGAUAACAACAUAUACAGGAAGUUAUAGGAGCUUGAGGGCAUGGGACAAUGUUUUCAUGUUGAGGCUGAAAAAAAAGAUCAAGUAGAUGCUAUCCUGAAUUUUGGUGGAUGCAGAGCCAGAAAAUUUGUUUUAUAGCUUCUUAGAUGGUACUUUUACUUCCAAACAAUUAAAAUUUUGUGUUUCUAUUGAAGGGAUCUUGUAUUUGAAAUUAGUGUAACACGUCUAGUUUCACUCCCUUGUACUGGUCUUAUAGAAAGAUCGGAACAAGAUGUUCAUGUGCAGAAAAUGAAAUGUACAG